rnacentral:rRNA from 1 species
UACGGGGGGAGCAAGCGUUGUUCGGAUUUACUGGGCGUAAAGGGCGCGUAGGCGGCACCGCAAGUCGACUGUGAAAUCUCCGGGCUUAACUCGGAAAGGUCAGCCGAUACUGCGGGCUAGAGUGCAGAAGGGGCAACUGGAAUUCUCGGUGUAGCGGUGAAAUGCGUAGAUAUCGAGAGGAACACCUGCGGCGAAGGCGGGUUGCUGGGCUGACACUGACGCUGAUGCGCGAAAGCGUGGGAGCGAACAGG